rnacentral:rRNA from 1 species
UACGGAGGGAGCUAGCGUUGUUCGGAAUUACUGGGCGUAAAGCGCGCGUAGGCGGCUUUGUAAGUUAGAGGUGAAAGCCCGGGGCUCAACCCCGGAAUUGCCUUUAAGGCUGCAUCGCUAGAAUCCAGGAGAGGUGAGUGGAAUUCCGAGUGUAGAGGUGAAAUUCGUAGAUAUUCGGAAGAACACCAGUGGCGAAGGCGGCUCACUGGACUGGUAUUGACGCUGAGGUGCGAAAGCGUGGGGAGCAAACAGG